CGCCGCCGUGGGCGAUGGUGACGCCGGCCAGCAGCUUCCCAAGCUCCUCGUCGUUGCGGAUCGCCAGGAGCACGUGGCGCGGGAUGAUGCGCGUCUUCUUGUUGUCCCUCGCCGCGUUUCCGGCGAGCUCAAGCACCUCGGCGGCGAGGUACUCGAGGACGGCGGCGAGGUACACGGGAGCGCCGGUGCCGACGCGCUGCGCGUACCGACCCUUCUUGAGGUAGCGCCCGAUGCGGCCGACGGGGAACUGGAGUCCGGCCUUCACGGACCGCGACACCGACUUCUUCCUGGGUCCGCCGGCCUUGCGCCCGGCCGCUCCCUUCUUCACCUUGCCGGUGGCUCCAGCUCCGCUGACGUCCAUGGCUGGCUG
rnacentral:lncRNA from 1 species